rnacentral:rRNA from 1 species
AGUGAACGCUGGCGGUAGGCCUAACACAUGCAAGUCGAACGGCAGCACAGUAAGAGCUUGCUCUUACGGGUGGCGAGUGGCGGACGGGUGAGGAAUACAUCGGAAUCUACUUUUUCGUGGGGGAUAACGUAGGGAAACUUACGCUAAUACCGCAUACGACCUACGGGGGAAAGUAGGGGAUCUUCGGACCUUGCGCGAUUGAAUGAGCCGAUGUCGGAUUAGCUAGUUGGCGGGGUAAAGGCCCACCAAGGCGACGAUCCGUAGCUGGUCUGAGAGGAUGAUCAGCCACACUGGAACUGAGACACGGUCCAGACUCCUACGGGAGGCAGCAGUGGGGAAUAUUGGACAAUGGGCGCAAGCCUGAUCCAGCCAUGCCGCGUGGGUGAAGAAGGCCUUCGGGUUGUAAAGCCCUUUUGUUGGGAAAGAAAAGCAGCAGGUUAAUACCCCGCUGUUCUGACGGUACCCAAAGAAUAAGCACCGGCUAACUUCGUG